rnacentral:rRNA from 1 species
AUGAAGGAUCAUAUUAAGAGGUACUUUUCGAAUCUGUUUACCUCAGAAGUAACCCAACCGAACCAGGACGUUCUUUCGCUUAUCCCAAGGAAAAUAAAUGAAGAAAUGAAUAAUGCUCUUCUGGCCCCUUAUACGGCCGAGGAAGUUCGAAAAGCCCUAUUCGACAUUGGGGAUUUAAAAGCGUCAGGUCCUGAUGGCCUUCAUGCUAUUUUUUAUAAAAGAUUCUGGCCUAUGUUGGGAGAUGAUUUGAUUGAAGAGGUUCUCAAGGCAGUGAAUACUUGCUCCAUUCCAGAGGGAUGGAAUGACACUGCGAUUGUAAUGAUCCCAAAGGUUAAUGUUCCAGAAAAGGUAACUCAAUUUAGACCAAUUAGCUUGUGCAACGUGGUAUAUAAGGUAAUUUCAAAGAUGAUUGCUUCCCGUUUGAAGAUAAUCCUAACAGAUAUUAUCAGCCCAACUCAGAGCACUUUUGUGCCUGGAAGAAUGAUUACGGAUAAUAUACUAGUGGCUUAUGGGUGUUUUCAUACAAUAAAGAAAAAGAGGGCCGGUAAAGAGGGUCUAUGUGCCAUCAAAUUGGACAUGCACAAGGCAUGCGGUAGAGUGGAAUGGGUCAUUUUAAAGGAAAUUAUGUUAAAAUUGGGAUUUGAUAAGAAAUGGGUGAAUUUAAUUAUGCAAUGUAUUUCUUCUAUGGAGUACCGAGUUCGUUUUAAUGCCGAGGAAACUGAGAGUUUUAAACCCACUAACGGACUGAGGCAGGGAGACCCCCUAUCUCCCUACUUAUUCUUAUUAUGCACGGAGGGUCUUACUGCCCUUUUAGCGAAAGCAGGGGAGAAUGGAAGUAUUUCAGGCAUAAAGGUAUGCAGAGAUGCUCCACCUAUUUCCAAUCUUCUCUUUGCGGAUGACUCUUUGAUACUUAUGCGAGCAAAUGCUAUGAAUGCGGAGGCGUUGAAAUCAGUUUUGGAUUCUUACUGUGCCGCCUCAGGACAGAUGGUGAGUGUUGAAAAAUCUAGC